rnacentral:lncRNA from 1 species
AUUUCAGUUUGACAAUGACUCCUGUCAUCACAAAGGAAAGAAAGGCUCGUGACAAGACAAACAAGUGUACAAAUAUGUACAGCACGCAAUGAGGGCCCAGAGGAAGAAAGAAAGAUUAAAGGAUAGGAGAGACUACUUUUGCCUUGAGGGGAAGAAAGAAGUCAGGGGCUGGCUAACAGGGGGUGUGGAAGCCUGCAAACUACACUUCAUAGGCUGUGAUCAGCUGCCUUCUGGUUGGGCUCUGCCAGUGAAAAGCCUUGGGACAGGACUCAAAUGCUGGAGGGAAGGAGAAGUUUGAUUUUGCAUUGUUUUGGUUUUGUUUUACCCCUGCUUUCACAAAUGCCUCCCCGAGUGGUGACACAUCAGCGGAAGUGCAACUUCUGGCCCCCUGCACAGCUUCAGGGACCAUCUGAUAGCAGUAACAGCAACUGCACCUCCAGAAGAUCAGAAGCACAUGCAGGCUGGGCUUCUGUCAAAGGCUGGGAAGAGCUCCCUGGCCUCUGAGUUUCUCCCUUCUCCCUUUUACUCUUCUACCUCUUCCAAAAGAUUGUAACCAACUCCCUGUAUUAAAUCCCUCUCUGCUGGAAAUACCUCCAGUGCAAUCUACUUUCUUAACUGAGCACUGAUGGGUACACCAUUUAAUGCACAAGGAGACCGAGGUACA